rnacentral:rRNA from 1 species
UCUGGUUAAUCCUGCCAGUAGUCAUAUGCUUGUCUCAAAGAUUAAGCCAUGCAUGUCUAAGUAUAAAUAGUAUACAGUGAAACUGCGAAUGGCUCAUUAAAACAGUUAUAGUUUAUUUGAUAAUUGACAAUUACAUGGAUAACCGUGGUAAUUCUAGAGCUAAUACAUGCUCAAACGCCCGACUUUAUGGAAGGGUGGUAUUUAUUAGACUGAAGCCAAUAUUCCUUGUGUCUAUUGCGGUGAUUCAUAAUAACUGAUCGAAUCUCUUUUUGAGAUAAAUCAUUCAAGUUUCUGCCCUAUCAGCUUUCGAUGGUAGUGUAUUGGACUACCAUGGCAGUAACGGGUAACGAAGAAUUAGGGUUCGAUUUCGGAGAGGGAGCAUGAGAAACGGCUACCACAUCUAAGGAAGGCAGCAGGCGCGUAAAUUACCCAAUCCUGACUCAGGGAGGUAGUGACAAGAAAUAGCAAACCGGGAACCUCAUGGUUUCACGGUAUUGCAAUGAGAACAAUUUAAAACCCUUAGCGAGAAUCAAGUGGAGGACAAGUCUGGUGCCAGCACCCGCGGUAAUUCCAGCUCCACUAGCGUAUAUUAAAGUUGUUGCAGUUAAAAAGCUCGUAGUUGAACCUCUGUCUGGGGCUAGUUUUGGCUUAGGUCAGGCUAGUUCUAGGCAUCCGCCUACAAGACUUAGAGGGCAUUCAGUUGUUCACUAGGAGGAGUAGGCAUUUUACUUUGAAAAAAUUAGAGUGUUUAAGGCAGGCAAUCGCCCGCAUAUAUUAGCAUGGAAUAAUAGAAUAGGACACUUUUCCAUUUCGUUGGUUAUUGGAAUCGUGUAAUGAUUAAUAGGGACAGUUGUGGGCAUUUGUAUUUAAUUGUCAGAGGUGAAAUUCUUGGAUUUAUUAAAGACAAACUAACGCGAAAGCAUUUGCCAAGGAUGUUUUCAUUAAUCAAGAACGAAAGUUAGGGGAUCAAAGACGAUCAGAUACCGUCCUAGUCUUAACUAUAAGCUAUUCCGACUCAAUGUUUGACUGGCUUAUAUAACCAGUUGAGCGUUGUAUGAGAAAUCAAAGUCUUUAGGUUCUGGGGGGAGUAUGGUUGCAAAGCUGAAACUUAAAGGAAUUGACGGAAGAGCACAACCAGGAGUGGAUUCUGCGGCUUAAUUUGACUCAACACGGGGAAACUUACCAGGUUAAAACAAUAGUGGGAUUGACAGUUUGAGAGCGCUUUCUUGAUUGGUUGGGUGGUGGUGCAUGGCCGUUCUUAGUUGGUGGAGUGAUUUGUCUGCUUAAUUGCGUUAACGAACGAGACCUUAACCUGCUUACUAGACUGGCGAUCAUCAAUCGUUAGCUCUUCUUAGAGGGACUUUGGUUGUUUUAACU